rnacentral:rRNA from 1 species
UACGUAGGGUCCGAGCGUUGUCCGGAAUUACUGGGCGUAAAGAGCUCGUAGGUGGUUUGUCGCGUUGUCCGUGAAAACUCACAGCUCAACUGUGGGCGUGCGGGCGAUACGGGCAGACUGGAGUACUGCAGGGGAGACUGGAAUUCCUAGUGUAGCGGUGGAAUGCGCAGAUAUCAGGAGGAACACCGGUGGCGAAGGCGGGUCUCUGGGCAGUAACUGACGCUGAGGAGCGAAAGCGUGGGGAGCGGACAGG